AUGCCAGGCCUCGUCUCCUUUUUCCUUCGCCUCAUCCUGAUCCGCGAGGAUGGACGCGGCCACCAUGGCGCUGGGAGGGGCGCGCGUGGAGGUCACCACGCCUCUGGACACGGCCGCCGCGCCGCCGGAUGCGCCCACCACGGUGCUCCUCGCGCCUGUGGCCAUACGCCGAUGGGGUUUGACCUCUGGCUGGUGGCUGGCCCGAGCGCCCCUGCGGUGCACGGGGGCGCAGCCGCGCCGGCUCCGCCCCGGGGGUCUCCGCCUCCACCCCCUCCACCUCCGGUGGCCCGGCUCGCGUCGUGGCCGGCAGCGCCAGGUCGUCGCACCUGGCCGCGCCAGCCCGUCCGCUCCGCCCAGCCGCCGCGCCGGCACGCACCGCGCCACACCCACCCGAGCCCGCACCACCGCUCGUGA
rnacentral:rRNA from 1 species